AAAAAAUGGUCAAAAUAUGUAAUUAUUUCAAAAGGAGAAAAAUGUGCUUGGUCAUACAUUAUUAGUUUAGGAAUAUACUUCAUACGGUGAUUUGUUUCGCAAAGCAUGCAAGUUGUUGUGUUGGUUAUGUUUGACUUAUGACUUAGGGAAUUGAAUGUUCAUAUACUGCGUUAGUGGUGGAAAAAACUUGGUUAACUCAUCGGGUAGACUACCAACCCCAUAAUAUAAGGUUGUGGUAAUUAUGAUAGUGGAAUCCAAGUAGACUUAAAUACUAAUAUUUUGAUUGUCUAUUAAUAGCGGGUAGUCUACCCGGUGGGUUACUCAAGCAAUGUCCGUUAGUGGUUACGCUUUGGUACAGGGCUCCUGAACUUCUUCUUGGAGCUAAAGGGUAUUCAACGGCUCUUGAAAUGUGGUCUGUGGGGGGUAUUCAGAGUGUAUGAAAGUGUCCUAAAGUGUCGGAAACGUUUAAAGUGUCGGAAACUCGACAAGUUGACCCAAAGAGAGUGUUCGUGCAUCAUAGCUUAUAUAUAUAUGUUCUUGUCAUGGAGUUUUGAUACUUGUGCUUAGUCUGGUUUCCUCAUAUUGAUACAGUGGUUCCAGGAGGUUCCUCUUCCCAAUUCCAGGGAGUUACUUCCUCUCUCUUGUGCUUUUACAGAUGUUCAUGGGGCUGGGUGCUUUGUGUUGGAGGCUGCUGCAGUGGUUAUCCAUUGUGCUGCUGCAUUGAUCAUACAUUGAUGGUUUUGUCUAUUAAUAUCGGAAGUAACAGAUUUUUUUUGACUGAUUAUACCUCUUAGUGAAUUGGCUUUACCACCAUUAUGUCCUUUGCUCUUACAGAUUUGAGCUAUUUUGGAAGAUUGGACAUAUAUGCUGCCCCAUAACGCGGUUCGUUUAGACUUUGCAUCUGGGAAUGAGUUUCCUGUUUGACCUCAAAUAAUCUCACAGGCAGCUGCUUGAACGUGUAAGGUGUGAAGUAGCAGUUCCUUACUCUGCUGAUCAUAUCUUUGCAAGAAUUGCUGUAUGUUAUCAAAGGGGUACUGGAAAUAGUUUACAUCAUGCCUCAGCUACAGGAGAAACUUUCAAGCUUUUAGGUAGUAGUAUUACUAACAGUCAGAUUGAAGAUGUGGCAGUGCAAUUCUGAAGCUGUUUUGUGAAACUGUUAUGUUUAUGCAUUGCUUUUCAAUAUCUUGCUUUUUUUCCUGCAUUCUCUUCCCAGGUUUAACACAUUCGAAGAUACUCAAGGGUAUCUUCAUUUGAACAGCAGUGAUUGUGAUCCAAACUGAGGCUUCUUUUUUUAAAUGGUUAUACAUGGGAAACAUCAUCUGUGUUAGUUGAGACCUAUGUUACUCAGACACGGAUUGAUGAGUGUCUACACGGAUACGGGUGUCCAAGUGUCCGACUCGGCUAUUUUGUAGAAAAAAGACAAGUUUUUAGUUAAAAUUGAAGUAUCCAAUUAAAGUGUCGUGUCGGACACGCCACGACACCCUGUUUUUGAGGUAAAUGAAGGUGUCGGAGUUAACACUGGUUGAGACUCUGGUGGUUGAAUUUAGUUUGCUAGAACAUUAGCACUAUCCACUAAGAUGUAUCAAACUUUUCCUAUGGUCUUGCAUCUGAAAUGCAGCAUUGAAGUUCCAAGGUGUUGAAACUAUGUGCAAUUAAUGGCUCUAAUACUUGUAUUAAGUUGCCAAUCCUUUUGUGUACUCAAUCAUGUUUAUGUUGGAUGAGGGAUCUUCAUGAGAGAUGGAGUUACCAGUGGAUCCAAUGCAGCUUUCUACAUUAAUAAUGAGGAGUACUGCUUGUUCAUUUUACUCGCACUAAGAGUUAUGUAGUGGUGGCUGAUCAUAUGCUUUUUACAUUCUGUAAUUUGAAGUUGAUCAGGGGUUGUUGAACUUUGCUCAACUAAAUUGUUGUAGGCCAAAGCUCUUUUGCUAUGAUAAUUGUUUUAGCUUUCA